GUGGAAGUCAACCUUACUUUGUUCAUCACGGACAGUGGGGGUACUCCGUGUACCCCUGCCGCCAACACAGUCUCCGAGGACUACUAAAAGUUGUGUGGGGAACAACAGUGUCUAUUGCUGUCAAAAUCAGCAAGAUAUGGUGGUCUGCAAGUACAUACACAGCGAGAGGAUGAUGUGGAGACUGGUCACUACUAGAUGAUCACAGUACCUCGAUCAUUAGUGGACCUGUGUCAGCUACUAUCAGCUCAGUGGAUGAACAGUGACGCUUCACUGGGCAGGUCUCUCCUCACUCACUCCCUCAAAAGAGAGAAAAGGCUCCACUUCCACUCACACAAGCGCAACAAAGGCUAAAUGAGUCUCUGGACACCAUUCUGGGGUUGUUCUGAAAAGCCACUGUUCAGGUUUAGGGACACAACAACAGAGCCAGAAUGACUUCUUUGUGCUCCGACUCCACUGCCUGAGAUGAGACAUUUCCGCCCGACUCUUAAAAAGCUUGUUAAUUAGCUGCAGUGGGGAGCUGAAAUCGUUAAUGCCUUUAGCAAUGGUGGUACAAGCUAUAUACAUUUACUUCAAUCAAUAGAGUGCUAUGUCUUAGCAACUUCUUCACACAUAUUCUUACUUACACGUGUUGACUUUCAUUCAUAAGUUUAAGAAUAACAAUGAAACCACACACUACUUUUUACAUUUUGCUUUAGACUGUUAACUGUAUAAUACAUAAAAAUAAGACACUACUGAAACAUAAAUUGCUUUUUGUAAUUUUGCCUUUACCUUCUAUUUUAGAAGCAGAUGUUCUUUGUUGGCAUAACUUGAAAUUUUGACAAAUAUCUCACAUUAGCGAUGUUUAGUGAAAACACAUCCUGAUGUAAAGACCUCAGUUCACACCUAACAGAGCCCCGAGGACACCACAAUAGAGAAGAGACACUUCCACAUGCGACGGAAAGUUCAAAGAAUUUUUUACUUUAGAAAUUCAAUAACUGAACAAACACUUAAUUUUGGACUGCACUAAUUCCAGAUAUUCAGUAUACCUUGGUCAGCAAAACAUUGUGUGCUUGCAGGUAAACCAUUUCUAGGUCACAGAGACAUACAGUAAGUAUGUUGACUGGAAGAUAAAUCAGAAGCAUCAUGAAAUUUCAAUGUGAUUGGCUAGAAUUAGCAAAUUAUAACCAACCAACCAUGCAACCAACACAAUAUUCUGUCUUUAUAAGAUGUUAUUAUUAUGUAACCUGAAAAGCAUUGUACACACUAUAAACAUGU